rnacentral:misc_RNA from 1 species
UACACAAGCACUAAUCCUGGAUUAAAAAACACCCUAUCUUUACAAAUCCACUCGAUCCAGAAAAGAGUGAAACAUAACCCAAAUCUAUAAACUCAUGGGCUAGAAACACCCAUCACAAUCGUCCUCACCCUUUGUAGUCAAACUGCCUUUUGCAACCCUCUAGAUGAAGAAUAGCCUGCAAAAUCAAACCCCAACAUACCCAAAAAUGUUUACAAGAAGGAGAGACCUAAUGUCUAGACGAGAGGAAAGAAAAUCACCCCCUACUCGAACGAGGCAGGAGAAGGCCCACGUUUUUGAUAGAGGCACUCAAUAACAAUUCUUAAGUUUAUAUAAAGUCGAGUUUAUAGAAAAAAAAAAAAA